GAUGAACGCUGGCGGCGUGCUUAACACAUGCCAGUCGAACGGUGAAAGAGAGCUUGCUCUCUGGAUCAGUGGCGAACGGGUGAGUAACACGUGAGCAAUCUGCCCCUGACUCUGGGAUAAGCGCUGGAAACGGCGUCUAAUACCGGAUACGAGCUGCGAAGGCAUCUUCAGCAGCUGGAAAGAACUUCGGUCAGGGAUGAGCUCGCGGCCUAUCAGCUAGUUGGUGAGGUAACGGCUCGCCAAGGCGUCGACGGGUAGCCGGCCUGAGAGGGUGACCGGCCACACUGGGACUGAGACACGGCCCAGACUCCUACGGGAGGCAGCAGUGGGGAAUAUUGCACAAUGGGCGAAAGCCUGAUGCAGCAACGCCGCGUGAGGGACGACGGCCUUCGGGUUGUAAACCUCUUUUAGCAGGGAAGAAGCGAAAGUGACGGUACCUGCAGAAAAAGCACCGGCUAACUACGUG
rnacentral:rRNA from 1 species